AAAAGCUCGGCAACAGAGGCUGAAAUUACAUCUUUGGAACUCAGCCCUGGCUGCCUCUCAGCCUUCGCCUAUGGAGCUUCCCUCUACCUCUUCGACCUCCCAUUCCGAGGGCGCCCCGAGCCUUGCGGUAGCCAGCAAACCUUCAGACGUACCUGCAAAAUCUAAGAAGCCUUCAAAGAAAUCUUCUGCUUCUAAAGCUGCGGUCCCCGCAAAACCUGUAAAACAGGUAAAAACAAAGGCAGCAGUGAAGGCUAAGGACGCUGUAUCCCAAGCUUUGCCGGGAUCGGUCGACCUUCUCUCUCCAUUAUUGGAGGAUUUGUCGAAGGACAAGGAUUCGACGUCGGGGGCGGCUACCCCCCUUCCUCCUCGUCAGACUGAGCCGACUAUACCCCUUGGCGCUCCCUCUCCGACGCCAAGUCAGCUUGUUCGAGCUACAACAAGCUUGGGUUCGGCCCCGGUUAGCCCGGUGUCUUCUGGGCGGGCUUCACCGGCUCCAUCGAUAUCGCCUCUGCCUCCCCACCCUCCCUCGCCACCGAGGAAGAAGCAGGCGAAGAGAAAGCAUUCCUCGAGGGAUCGCUCUGCCUCACCUCGUAAAGACAACAGAGACGGGCGCAAACGUUCCCGACGUCGUCAUAGAUCGACAUCGAGUGACUCCUCCUCCUCCGACUCCCGUCGUCGGCGCAAGCGUCGCUCCAGACGCCGCUCUUAUUCUCCUUCACCGUCGACGUCGCCUGACCGUCGUCAUCGACGUCGGAGGAUCAAGUACAUUUACCUCUCCUCCUCCUCCUCGUCUUCGCCAUCGACUCCACCUAGGAAACAUCGACAUCGACAUAAGAAAAGAGUAGCAGACACCGCUCAACCUACUCCGCUACCAGCUCCACCUACUGCUUCACUCCCUGCGGUCCCGUCAACAUCGACUGCACCUCCCCCUCCUCCUCCUCCUCCCCCGCACCCUGUUCCUACAGUCGUGCCACAAGCUCCACCUCCACAUCGAACAAGAGGCCAUGAGCUGUCAUCUGAUGAUGAUGUUUCCUUCUCGUCACAAGACUCUGAAUCGGAGGAAGAGCCACCUCCUCCACCUACACCUCACGAGUUACCAGUCGGAGAGACAGUAGAAUCGGACACAGGCAACCCUCACGAUUCCUCACCUUCGGAGGAUUUUUCCUCAUAUGCACAAAUGC
rnacentral:lncRNA from 1 species